rnacentral:rRNA from 1 species
CGCUGGCGGCGUGCUUAACACAUGCAAGUCGAACGGAGCACCCUUGAUUGAGGUUUCGGCCAAAUGAUAGGAAUGCUUAGUGGCGGACUGGUGAGUAACGCGUGAGGAACCUGCCUUUCAGAGGGGGAUAACUGCUCGAAAGGGUGGCUAAUACCGCAUGAGACCUGAGGGUGAAAGCGGGGGAUCGCAAGACCUCGCGCAAUUGGAGCGGCCGAUGCCCGAUUAGCUAGUUGGUGAGGUAAAGGCUCACCAAGGCGACGAUCGGUAGCUGGUCUGAGAGGACGACCAGCCACACUGGGACUGAGACACGGCCCAGACUCCUACGGGAGGCAGCAGUGGGGAAUUUUGGACAAUGGGGGCAACCCUGAUCCAGCCAUGCCGCGUGCAGGAUGAAGGCCUUCGGGUUGUAAACUGCUUUUGUCAGGGACGAAAAGGACCGUGUUAAUACCAUGGUCUGCUGACGGUACCUGAAGAAUAAGCACCGGCUAACUACGUG